CUAGCCAAACUUGUAAACCUAACCCUAAAUUAAAAAUGGUUCCAUAAACUUGAAACAAAUUAACGCCCGAGGAGUGCUACAAAAAGGAAAAAAAGUUGUCUACAAACAAAGAGGCGAUAUUGAUAAAUUGGUGGAUACUAGUUUUUCCUAUUUUUAGCCUUCUUAUCACAACUUUCAACACUUCUAAUACUACACGUCCUAUUGGGUUUGAAAGCAGGGAGCAUGGUAUACAUCGAACAAGAUGUUGCAUCUAUCCCCUCAAGAAUUUGUAUGGGGAAAGGUGGUGGGGGCACUUCAAUAACACAUAAAUCGCUCUCCAGUCUUUAAACCUUGAUGAAAUCAAAUCCUACUGAAAAAAUCUGACCCAGGAGUUCAUUUUCUGAAAAUAAGAGACGUUUUGUCAUAUGAAAGCUCCACUAUUUUUUUGACAUAUUUAAUUCAAGAAAAGUACAGUUAAGUAUAACCUUUGACAUGUGUCAACGCCCAUUAAUGUUACAAAUCAUAUAUAGGCACGCCUUACUCAUUAACAUAUUUGAUUAUAGAAUUUAAUACGUUAAUUCGUAAAAUGCAUGCUAUAUAUAUAUAUAUAACUUGUAACAUUGCAUUACUGAUAGACAGUAAGUAAGAAAGGCACAAAAUGUGGUUAAAUACACAAAAAGGGGAGUUGUGUUUCAGCAAUUUACCGCACUGAACAUUUGUAUAUAUAUUCUUGUAUUAUGCUAACAUGAAACUUUCUAUAACUUUUAUAUCUCUUUUCUUACUAAAAAACUAUAUUUAAAAAUCUUCCCUCGGAUUUGUCUGUCCAAUUGAAUAUUUGCAAUUGAAUUGUGUUGCUGUUAAAGAUUGUUUAACAAGUAAGGUGUGAAUUCACAUUCGAAGAUCAACGUUCAUCCAUUUCGUAGAAUUAUUUUGCAGGCAAAACUGCAAUUCAUUAUCAUAAAGGCAGCAUUUUGAAUAAAAAAAUUAGUGCUCUACCUUUAAGUUUAAGAUUUAUUAUCUAUAAUAUUAUUUUACAUCUUUUCUACACUUUUAUUUAUUGACUGUUACUAUUUAAUGUUUACCAAAAACUUGUGUGAUUUUUUGUUACAAUUUCUGGUAUUUUUGUGAUAUUUUGUUUCUAUAGGACAUGGAGUUUGAUACAAACCAGAAAUGUUCUUAUUUGACCACAUAAUAUUAAACUAUUUAACUAUUUAAAAAGUUCAACAAGCAAUACAUUAAUUUACUAAAAAAUUAAUCAAAUACGAACAGAAUUUUUUUUUAUUUAUAAAUAGGUCAGUAUUUAUUUGUCAAGUAUAAUUCCAACUGAAUCCCUCAUUAAUAAAAUAGACGAUUGUGGGUCAAAAGGUCACGCGAUUUAACGGAAGUUUUAAAUCCCCAUUAUAUAUUAAAUGUUCAAUAGAGAAGGAUUUUCAACAAGAUAUAUAAAUUAGGGUACAAAAUGUUUAAAAAUCAAUCACUGUGAUAUUUUAUACACUUUAUUGUCUUGUAUUUUUUGUUACUUUUAAGCUAAAUUAUAUAAGAUUGUUUAAAGAUUGGUUGCUUGAACAAUCGACAAGGAGAUCAAUAGUAUAGUUUUUUUUUUAAAGUUAUUUUUGUCGAAUAAACAUAAUUUUUUUUAAUGUUUUACGGAUAUGCAUAUUUUCUAUUCAAAUAUUCCCACCGAAACACGUGUUUCUUUAUGUAACAUUUAAUAUAGAAAUAAGAACAUGUGGUAUGAUUGCCAAUGUGAAAUCUCUCUAUCGGAGAUUGACCAAAUGACGUAGGACUACAAAUGAGUGCUUACAUAUAGAAAGCAUCACGGAUUAAUACAUUUUGAUUGUAAUAAAACAAUUUUCAAAAACUUUCAGAAAUUAAAAAUUUGACAGGUUUUUUUUUCAUUUUAGCUGAAUAUCAAUUACUCAAUAAAACUAAAGCAAUGUUUCUAUUCUUAGUUUAACAAAAUUUGCAAUACAAUUUAUGAGAAAAGGCAUGACAUUUUGGCGUUGCAAUUCAAGGACUGUAUGCUGUUAGAUAGUACUCGGCAAAUUAAUUGAAAUAUGAGGGUUAAAGUGCAUGGAUAUUGAUUCAUUUAUAUAAGAGGGUAUCGAUGGGUUUACAGAAUAAAGCAUACUGGGCAAAAAAUUAAAGAAUAGAGAAAAAUGGGCAAAAGUCUAAAGCAUUGAGAAUAAUUGGCUUACAUAUAAAGAAUACAGAGAAAAAAAAAUUAAGAAUAGAGAAAAAUGUCCCAAAAAGUUAUAGAAUACUGAAAUGAAUACUCUACAUCAAGACUCUCAUGAAAUGAUACCUCAUUUUGUUGACAUUUAAGCAAUAAAGGUAUUGAAUUGAACACGUUGUAACCUCUAUAUGGUCAUACUGUCAUGGAGUCAUUUUAGACCUCAUUUUAUAUUUUUUGUGAAAAUUUAGUUUUCAGCAAAAAGGAAUAAGUUUAAGAUAUUUUAUUUAUUUAAAGUCCAUUUCGAAGCUGCAGUAUUGAUUAAAAGUAUUUUUGUUUUAUAUUCGUUCAUUAUUGUUGAAGGAAAUCAUUUUUAUAUUCUCGAUAUAUUUAAGAUAAAAAGUUCAAAUUUAACAGAUAUUUACUUUGGCAUUUGUCACUUUAUAUUUUCUCUUUGUUAGGCAUUAUUUUUUAUCAAUUUAAGAUGUUUAGCGACAAGCUAAGUGGACACAAUUAGACAUGUUUUUUACUAAGUCUUUUGUCCUUUAAACACAAACAAGUUGUUGUGUUAACAACAUAUGUCUAGGUAACCUGGUCAAUUAGGGUUCUUUGUCCUGUCCAGCAAAGAUCUUUCCACGCCCCUUUUACCCCAAAUUAUCAGGGUAACUAAGUGGCUCGGGUGUUUAACGAAUCUGAUUGGUCGAACCUGAAACAGUAACGCAAAAUCGAACAAGUGAAUUUCGGUCUCAAAAGUGGCACUUUCUCAUGCGCUUUUGAAGAUACAAGUUCUAAAACCUACUUCACUGUGUUUGUUAUAACUGUUUUCAGGUGAGUCAAGUAUUUUAAUUAUUCAAAGUUAAUAUGUUUCUUUCAUUAUUUUAUUCAAUUGAAUCAUGAAACUUCGUAAAGUUUCGUUUCCAUUUCAUUUAGUAAAGUUGAAGUUAAAUAUCUAUGAGUUCUGCAAGUAAAGAAGUUAAGAUCAAAUUGUUGUUUCUCGAUCAGUGUAAAUAGAUGUAUAUAUGUUCAAAAAAAGGUUGGUUUAUUCUUCACAAACUUUCUGUACUCAAGGGUAUUUUUAAACGCAUUAUAGAAUUUAGUUUUACGCUCGCAUGUUGGAAAUGAUAAUUUUAACUUAUCGCUUGUUUAUACUUAAUAAGACUUAAGGUCAGUUCUGCAAGGGUAAGAUGUCAAUUAUUUUAAUAAACGCUUUAUGCGUAAUUUCCACAUGUGUAGGCUAAUUUAAUAAGAAAUUAUUUAUCGUAAACUAUUCUUGUUGUUUAGCCCUAUAUUAUUACGAGUCAUGAAUUUUUGAUACAAAGCAAGCAUAUAUAUUUUAAAAGCUAGUUUCCCCAUUUCAUAUUAUAUUGUUUAAUAUUUAUAUUAUUUGAAUAUUCACGAUUAGUUUCGUAAUGCUAAGUUUGUCUCGAUUUCGAAUAUUUCUCAACCAAUGCUCAUCGUCGGAAUUGAUGAUUUUUGGGUUAAUAGGUUUUUAUAUAGUUUAAGUUUUUACAAGCUCAAUAUAUGCUCUACCAUGAUUAUAAUUCAAAAGAUAAAAGAAUUCAACAUGUUUAUUCAUGUCCAUUGUGAAGAUAUUAUGCAUUCAAUACUUUAUGCUGUUCAGCACAUGCUUUAUGCUCCGUUAGGUUCAAAUAUUAGGUCUUGCAUUAUGCUCAUACAUUUAAGAUUUAGUCCGCAUCUUGCUCAUAUAUUUGAAUGCUAAAUAAGCUUUUAUUUAUAAGAAAUAUUAUCAGCAUCCGUGUUCGUCAGUUAAAAUGCAUAUGCUCAUGCAUUAACGUAAAGUUUGUAAACCAAAGAUAUUAAUUGAUCAAUUAUAUUGUAAAAUCAUAUGAAUUAUAUGUUUCUAUUAUUUGCAUUAUAUACUAUUAUAUUGUUAUUAAUUAUAUGACUUUCUCAUGCGCUUUUGAAGAUACAAGUUCUAAAACCUA